CCUACGGUAGGCAGCAGUGAGGAAUAUUGGUCAAUGGGCGGAAGCCUGAACCAGCCAAGUAGCGUGCGGGAUGAAGGCCCUACGGGUCGUAAACCGCUUUUGCACGGGGAUAACACCCUCCACUUGUGGAGGUCUGCAGGUACCGUGCGAAUAAGGGCCGGCUAAUUCCGUGCCAGCAGCCGCGGUAAUACGGAAGGCCCGAGCGUUAUCCGGAUUCAUUGGGCUAAAAGGGAGCGUAGGCGGGCGUUCAAGUCAGCUGUAAAAUCGCGCGGCUCAACCGCGCCCCGCAGUUGAAACUGGACGCCUUGAGUUCACAACAGGCAGGCGGAAUUCGUGGUGUAGCGGUGAAAUGCAUAGAUAUCACGAGGAACCCCGAUUGCGAAGGCAGCCUGCCGGGGUGCGACUGACGCUGAGGCUCGAAGGUGCGGGUAUCAAACAGGAUUAGAUACCCGAGUAGUU
rnacentral:rRNA from 1 species